UUCCGGUUGAUCCUGCCAGAGGUCACUGCUAUCGGGGUUCGAUUAAGCCAUGCGAGUCGAGAGGGUUCGGCCCUCGGCGUACUGCUCAGUAACACGUGGAUAACCUGCCCUAGGGGAGGGGAUAACCCCGGGAAACUGGGGAUAAUACCCUAUAGGUUACAGAUGCUGGAAUGCCCUGUAACCAAAAGCUCCGGCGCCCUAGGAUGGAUCUGCGGCCGAUUAGGUUGUUGUUGGGGUAACGGCCCAACAAGCCCGUAAUCGGUACGGGUUGUGGGAGCAAGAGCCCGGAGUUGGAUUCUGAGACACGAAUCCAGGCCCUACGGGGCGCAGCAGGCGCGAAACCUUUACAAUGCGGGCAACCGUGAUAAGGGAACCUCGAGUGCCUGUAAACGCAGGCUGUUCAGGUGUUUAAAACGCACCUGGAGAAAGGGCCGGGCAAGACCGGUGCCAGCCGCCGCGGUAAUACCGGCGGCUCGAGUGGUGGCCGCUUUUAUUGGGCUUAAAGCGUUCGUACC
rnacentral:rRNA from 1 species